rnacentral:rRNA from 1 species
AUUGAACGCUGGCGGCAGGCCUAACACAUGCAAGUCGAACGGUAACAGGAAGCAGCUUGCUGCUUCGCUGACGAGUGGCGGACGGGUGAGUAAUGUCUGGGAAGCUACCUGAUGGAGGGGGAUAACUACUGGAAACGGUAGCUAAUACCGCAUAAUGUCGCACGACCAAAGAGGGGGACCUUCGUGCCUCUUGCCAUCGGAUGUGCCCAGAUGGGAUUAGCUUGUUGGUGGGGUAACGGCUCACCAAGGCGACGAUCCCUAGCUGGUCUGAGAGGAUGACCAGCCAGACGGGAACUGAGACACGGCCCAGACUCCUACGGGAGGCAGCAGUGGGGAAUAUUGCACAAUGGGCGAAAGCCGGAUGCAGCCAUGCCGCGUGUAUGAAGAAGGCCUUCGGGUUGUAAAGUACUUUCAGCGGGGAGGAAGGGAGUAAAGUUAAUACCUUUGCUCAUUGACGUUACCCGCAGAAGAAGCACCGGCUAACUCCGUG